rnacentral:rRNA from 1 species
GUGUGAAGGGGACGAAAUAAAGAUCCUGGAGGAAAUGCCAGAUCGAUGACCGGUACCUCACGAGAAAGCCCGGCUAACUACGUGCCAGCAGCCGCGGUAAUACGUAGGGGGCGAGCGUUACCCGGAUUCACUGGGCGUAAAGGGGGCGCAGGCGAUCCAGUAUGUCGGGUGUGAAAUCCCACAGCUCAACUGUGGAAUUGCGCCCGAAACUACUGGGUUUGGGGCUGGUAGAGGGAGACGGAACUGCUGGUGUAGGGGUGAAAUCCGUAGAUAUCAGCAGGAACGCCGGUGGGGAAGCCGGUCUCCUGGGCCAAGCCCGACGCUGAGGCCCGAAAGCUAGGGGAGCAAACCGGAUUAGAUACCCGGGUAGUCCUAGCCGUAAACGAUGCCCACUAGGUGUGGGGGAGUCAUUCCUCCGUGCUGUAGCCAACGCGUUAAGUGGGCCGCCUGGGGAGUACGCCCGCAAGGGUGAAACUCAAAGGAAUUGGCGGGACCCCGCACAAGCGGUGGAGCGUGUGGUUUAAUUGGAUGCUAAGCCAAGAACCUUACCAGGGCUUGACAUGCAGGUGGUACCAACCCGAAAGGGAAGGGACCCUUUCCUUUUGGAAAGGGAGCCUGCACAGGUGGUGCACGGCCGUCGUCAGCUCGUGCCGUGAGGUGUUGGGUUAAGUCCCGCAACGAGCGUAACCCCUGCCCUUAGUUGCCAGCGGUUCGGCCGGGCACUCUAAGGGGACCGCCGGCGACGAGCCGGAGGAAGGAGGGGACGACGUCAGGUACUCGUGCCCUUUAUGCCCUGGGCUACACACGCGCUACAAUGGGUGGUACAGUGGGUCGCGACCUCGCGAGAGGGAGCCAAUCCCCAAAACCAUCCUCAGUUCAGAUCGCAGGCUGCAACCCGCCUGCGUGAAGCCGGAAUCGCUAGUAAUCGCGGAUCAGCCAUGCCGCGGUGAAUACGUUCCCGGGGUU